UCGAGGAUCUUCGGCAAUGGGCGCAAGCCUGACCGAGCGACGCCGCGUGCGCGAUGAAGGCCUUCGGGUUGUAAAGCGCUGUCGAGGGGGAGGAAGCCGAAAGGUUGACCUAUCCCUGGAGGAAGCACGGGCUAAGUUCGUGCCAGCAGCCGCGGUAAGACGAACCGUGCAAACGUUGUUCGGAAUCACUGGGCUUAAAGGGCGCGUAGGCGGCUUGUCAAGUCAGGGGUGAAAUCUUUCGGCUUAACCGGAAAAGUGCCUCUGAUACUGACAGGCUCGAGGGAGGUAGGGGCAUGUGGAACUUCCGGUGGAGCGGUGAAAUGCGUUGAUAUCGGAAGGAACGCCGGUGGCGAAAGCGACGUGCUGGACCUCUUCUGACGCUGAGGCGCGAAAGCUAGGGGAGCGAACGGGAUUAGAUACCCCCGUAGUCC
rnacentral:rRNA from 1 species